ensembl:lncRNA
CCAGAGUUAUCAUACACUGAAUAAUGUUUGGCGUAGAAACAGUCUUUACUCAGAAAUUGCUUGUAAAUUUCACAAGUUACAAAGAACCGGCAGAUCACAUUGAGCCAAACAUAACAUUUUGAAGUAGAAAGAUUGAAAUAAAAUUUUCUACAAAAAACUGGUAAAAUGUACUCCAAUUGUUUUGUUUACAACUUCAAAAAAAAAAAAAAAAAAAAAAAAAAAAAGAGAGAGAGAGAAAAAGGUGACAAACACAAAAUUACUAAAACUUUACAACUGUAAUGAAGACAGAAAAUAUAAAAAUUCAGAAUAUUAAUAAAAACUUUGUCUCAGUGACACUAAAAUAACACUGUAGUGUCUACACUGGUACCAACCAUGGAGAUAUAGAGUUAUUUCACACGUGUUCAAACAUACAAUUUUAAAAUUAAAGACAUAUCUAAUACUUAAAAAGAUGUGUAGUGUAAGAUGACUUGAGAGGGGGGAAAAAAGAGAGAAAAUUGACAUUGUGGCAUCUCACCACAAGAUGUCAUGUUUUUACAGUAAAGACGCGCCAAAGUCUGAGGAAAGAGGUAGAUUUUAAAAAGAAAAUGCCAGUUUUCUUAAAGAAUCUUUAGAACCGUUCAUCUGACUGUGAUAUGAAUCUUUAAGUAGUUUAUUAACACAGCAGUUUUUGCAUCACUGAUCCUGCAUUUGUGUCUUCACUCGUUUAACUGAACUCUGAUGGCCCACAAGUUAAUUAGUCAGAGAAGGUCAUUAUUGACACCUCAUGACAGGGUUUCCCAUAUAAACCUCCUUUACAAUGCCAGCUGUCAAUUUAAGAGCCUCAGCAGCCGCUGUAGAAUCAAAUCCAGACCCAGAAAAGACUGCAACAUGUCCUCACGGCCAAUCAGAAUCACCACUGCAGAACAAACUAUCACCUUCAGUGGUAAGAUGUCAGAAACAUUUAGACAUUUAUUUUUCAAGUUAAACUGUCAAGUUUUCAACGUUGAUAAUAAUGUUUAUAAAGCAUCAAAUUGGCAUUUCAGAAUGAUUUCUGAAGGAUCAUGUGACACUGAAGGCUAAAGUAUGAUGCUGAAAAUUCAGCUUUGCAUCACAGUAACAAAUUACAUUUUAUAUUAUAAAAAUAGAAGAGCGUUAUUUUAAAUUUCUGUAAUUAUUCUCAGUCAUUUUUUUUG